rnacentral:rRNA from 1 species
GACAGAGGGGGCAAGCGUUGCUCGGAAUUACUGGGCGUAAAGGGCGCGUAGGCGGGAUGGCAAGUCGGUCGUGAAAUCCCUCGGCUCAACUGAGGAUCGUCGAUCGAUACUGCCGUUCUUGAGGAUUGCAGAGGAGACUGGAAUUCCCGAUGUAGCGGUGAAAUGUGUAGAGAUCGGGAGGAACACCGGUGGCGAAGGCGGGUCUCUGGGCAAUUCCUGACGCUGAGGCGCGAAAGCGUGGGGAGCAAACGGG